CAGCAGCCGCCGCGGUAACACAGAGGGUGCGAGCGUUAAUCGGAUUUACUGGGCGUAAAGCGUGCGUAGGCGGCUUUUUAAGUCGGAUGUGAAAUCCCUGAGCUUAACUUAGGAAUUGCAUUCGAUACUGGGAAGCUAGAGUAUGGGAGAGGAUGGUAGAAUUCCAGGUGUAGCGGUGAAAUGCGUAGAGAUCUGGAGGAAUACCGAUGGCGAAGGCAGCCAUCUGGCCUAAUACUGACGCUGAGGUACGAAAGCAUGGGGAGCAAACAGGAUUAGAUACCCCCGUAGUCCCUGUCUCUUAUAC
rnacentral:rRNA from 1 species